UGGAAGCCUCGACGCCAGUCGGGGUGGAGUUGCCCUUGAAAUACCACCCUUUUAUUAUUAGGAGUCUAACUGUGAUCCGUUAUCCGGAUUCAGGACAGUGUCUGGUGGGUAGUUUGACUGGGGCGGUCUCCUCCCAAAAAGUAACGGAGGAGCCCAAAGGUUCCCUCAGCACGGUCGGUAAUCGUGCGUAGAGUGUAAACGCAUAAGGGAGCUUGACUGCGAGACUUACAGGUCGAGCAGGUGCGAAAGCAGGGGUUAGUGAUCCGGUGGUUCCGAGUGGAAGGGCCAUCGCUCAUCGGAUAAAAGGUACUCCGGGGAUAACAGGCUUAUCUCCCCCAAGAGCUCACAUCGACGGGGAGGUUUGGCACCUCGAUGUCGGCUCGUCGCAUCCUGGGGCUGGAGAAGGUCCCAAGGGUUGGGCUGUUCGCCCAUUAAAGCGGCACGCGAGCUGGGUUUAGAACGUCGUGAGACAGUUCGGUCCCUAUCCUCCAUGGGCGUAGGAAAUUUGAGUGGUUCUGUUCUUAGUACGAGAGGACCGGAAUGGACGAACCUCUAGUGUACCUGUUGUCACAUCAGUGGCAUCGCAGGGUAGCUACGUUCGGACGGGAUAAGCGCUGAAAGCAUAUAAGCGCGAAACCCGCCACAAGAUAAGAUUUCCCUCCUGAAUUAUCAGGACAUAAGGCUUCCAGUAGAUGACUGGAUUGAUAGGCCACAGAUGUACGCACAGUAAUGUGUUUAGUCGAGUGGUACUAAUUAGCCGAGCGGCUUGAUCAAAU
rnacentral:rRNA from 1 species